rnacentral:rRNA from 1 species
UACAGAGGUCUCAACCGUUGUUCGGAUUCAUUGGGCGUAAAGGGUGCGUGGGCGGUCGGGUAAGUCGGAUGUGAAAUCUCAGGGCUCAACCCUGAAACUGCAUUCGAUACUGCUUGGCUAGGGUACUGGAGAGGAGACUGGAAUUUACGGUGUAGCAGUGAAAUGCGUAGAUAUCGUAAGGAAGACCAGUGGCGAAGGCGAGUCUCUGGACAGUUACCGACGCUGAGGCACGAAGGUCAGGGGAGCAAACGGG